AUUGAACGCUGGCGGCAGGCCUAACACAUGCAAGUCGAGCGGUAGCACAGGGAGCUUGCUCCUGGGUGACGAGCGGCGGACGGGUGAGUAAUGUCUGGGAAACUGCCUGAUGGAGGGGGAUAACUACUGGAAACGGUAGCUAAUACCGCAUAACGUCGCAAGACCAAAGAGGGGGACCUUCGGGCCUCUUGCCAUCAGAUGUGCCCAGAUGGGAUUAGCUAGUAGGUGGGGUAAUGGCUCACCUAGGCGACGAUCCCUAGCUGGUCUGAGAGGAUGACCAGCCACACUGGAACUGAGACACGGUCCAGACUCCUACGGGAGGCAGCAGUGGGGAAUAUUGCACAAUGGGCGCAAGCCUGAUGCAGCCAUGCCGCGUGUAUGAAGAAGGCCUUCGGGUUGUAAAGUACUUUCAGCGGGGAGGAAGGUGUUGAGGUUAAUAACCUCAGCAAUUGACGUUACCCGCAGAAGAAGCACCGGCUAACUCCGUGCCAGCAGCCGCCGUAA
rnacentral:rRNA from 1 species